rnacentral:rRNA from 1 species
CCUACGGGAGGCAGCAGUCGAGAAUCAUUCACAAUGGGGGAAACCCUGAUGGUGCGACGCCGCGUGGGGGAAUGAAGGUCUUCGGAUUGUAAACCUCUGUCAUGUGGGAGCAAAUUAAAAAGAUAGUACCACAAGAGGAAGAGACGGCUAACUCUGGGCCAGUAGCUGCGGUAAUACAGAGGUCUCAAGAGUUGUUCGGAAUCACUGGGCGUAAAGGGUGCGUAGGCUGUGUCGUAAGUCGGGUGUGAAAGGCGCGGGCUCAACCCGCGGACGGCAGAUGAAACUGCGGGUCUAGAGUGAUCGAGGGGGAGCCGGAAUUCUCGGUGUAGCGGUGAAAUGCGUAGAUAUCAAGAAGAACACUCGUGGCGAAGGCGGGUUCCUGGACAUUAACUGACGCUGAGGCACGAAGGCCAGGGGAGCGAAAGGGAUUAGAUACCCCUGUAGUC